rnacentral:lncRNA from 1 species
CUUUAACAUGAGUUUAUUUGGAUAGAUUUACUCAAAACUUUACAUAAAUGUUGGAAUGGGUGACCCAAAAACAACAUCUGAUUAAAAAUAAAUCCAAUAAGUCAUUCCAGAGUUUAUGGGACUUUGACUGUAUGGAUAAAUAAAAGGCAUUUUUAAAUGUCUUGCACUAGCUCUAGUAUGCUUUGAUCAAAUUACUACUUAUUUGUCCAUAGAUUUAUAUACAAC